rnacentral:rRNA from 1 species
UACAGAGGUCCCAAGCGUUGUUCGGAUUCACUGGGCGUAAAGGGUGCGUAGGCGGUCGGGUAAGUCUGAUGUGAAAUCUCACAGCUUAACUGUGAAACUGCAUUGGAUACUAUCCGGCUCGAGGAAUGGAGGGGAGACUGGAAUACUUGGUGUAGCAGUGAAAUGCGUAGAUAUCAAGUGGAACACCAGUGGCGAAGGCGGCUCACUGGCCCGGUACUGACGCUGAGGUGCGAAAGCGUGGGGAGCGAACAGG